UACAGAGGGUGCGAGCGUUAAUCGGAAUUACUGGGCGUAAAGCGCGCGUAGGCGGCUUUGCAAGUCGGGUGUGAAAUCCCCAGGCUUAACCUGGGAACUGCAUUCGAGACUGCAUUGCUAGAGUAUGGGAGAGGGAUGCGGAAUUCCAGGUGUAGCGGUGAAAUGCGUAGAUAUCGGGAGGAACAUCAGUGGCGAAGGCGGCUACCUGGCCCAAUACUGACACUCAGGUGCGACAGCGUGGGGAGCAAACAGG
rnacentral:rRNA from 1 species